rnacentral:RNase_P_RNA from 1 species
AAGCAAACUGGUUCUAUCGCUGUCUUGCCCUUGGGCAGGAGAGAGGAAAGUCCGGGCAACAUAGAGCAACACGCUUCCUAACGGGAAGGCUCUUAUGUAAAUAAGAGACAGAAAGUGCCACAGAAAGGAUACCGCCUCGACACGUUCGAGGUAAGGGUGAAAGCGUGAGGUAAGAGCUCACGGUAUUGUAUGGUGACAUGCAUUACGGUAAACCUCGUGUGUUGAAAGACCAAAUAGAUUACGAAAUUCGAAGGCUGCUCGUCUUCUCUCGACCUGUCGAGAUUCGUAAUGGGUAGGUUGAUGGAGCCUGUGUGCGAAUGCAGGCCUAGAUAAAUGAUAGAAGUCCAAAAAAUACGGAUACAGAACCCGGCUUACAAGGUUUGCUUCUUU